rnacentral:rRNA from 1 species
GAUGAACGCUGGCGGCGUGCCUAAUACAUGCAAGUCGAGCGAACAGACGAGGAGCUUGCUCCUUCGACGUUAGCGGCGGACGGGUGAGUAACACGUAGGUAACCUACCUAUAAGACUGGGAUAACUUCGGGAAACCGGAGCUAAUACCGGAUAAUAUUUCGAACCGCAUGGUUCGAUAGUGAAAGAUGGCUUUGCUAUCACUUAUAGAUGGACCUGCGCCGUAUUAGCUAGUUGGUAAGGUAACGGCUUACCAAGGCAACGAUACGUAACCGACCUGAGAGGGUGAUCGGCCACACUGGAACUGAGACAGGGUCCAGACGACUACGGGAGGCAGCAGUAGGGAAUCUUACGCAAUGGGCGAAAGCCUGACGGAGCAACGCCGAGUGAGUGAUGAAGGUCUUCGGAGCGUAAAACUCUGUUAUUAGGGAAGAACAAACGUGUAAGUAACUGUGCACGUCUUGACGGUACCUAAUCAGAAAGCCACGGCUAACUACGUG